AGACCAUACGGGGUGCAGCAGGCGCGAAACCUCCGCAAUGUACGUAAGUGCGACGGGGGGAUCCCAAGUGUUAUGCUUAAAAGUAUAACUUUUCAUUAGUGUAAAAAGCUUUUAGAAUAAGAGCUGGGCAAGACCGGUGCCAGCCGCCGCGGUAACACCGGCAGCUCGAGUGGUAGCUGUUUUUAUUGGGCCUAAAGCGUUCGUAGCCGGUUUGAUAAGUCUUUGGUGAAAGCUUGUAGCUUAACUAUAAGAAGUGCUGGAGAUACUAUCAGACUUGAAGUCGGGAGAGGUUAGAGGUACUACCGGGGUAGGGGUGAAAUCCUAUAAUCCUGGGAGGACCACCUGUGGCGAAGGCGUCUAACUAGAACGAUCUUGACGGUGAGUAACGAAAGCCAGGGGCGCGAACCGGAUUAGAUACCCGGGUAGUCCUGGCCGUAAACGAUGUGGACUUGGUGUUGGAAUGGCUUUGAGUUGUUCCAGUGCCGAAGGGAAGCU
rnacentral:rRNA from 1 species